rnacentral:rRNA from 1 species
UUAGGAAUUUUGCGCAAUGGGCGAAAGCCUGACGCAGCAACGCCGCGUGAGGGAAGACGGCUUUCGGGUUGUAAACCUCUUUUAGCAGGGACGAACAUAAUGACGGUACCUACAGAAAAAGCACCGGCUAACUACGUGCCAGCAGCCGCGGUAAUACGUAGGGUGCAAGCGUUAUUCGGAUUUAUUGGGCGUAAAGCGCAUGUAGGCGGUUCGGUAAGUCUGGUGUGAAAGCCCUCGACUCAAUCGAGGAAGUGCAUUGGAUACUGUCGAACUGGAGUACAGGAGGGGUGAGCGGAAUUCCAGGUGUAGAGGUGAAAUUCGUAGAUAUCUGGAGGAACAACAGCGGCGAAGGCGGCUCACUGGACUGUAACUGACGCUCAGAUGCGAUAGUGUGGGGAGCAAACAG